rnacentral:rRNA from 1 species
GACGAACGCUGGCGGCGUGCUUAACACAUGCAAGUCGAACGGAAAGGCCCUGCUUUUGUGGGGUGCUCGAGUGGCGAACGGGUGAGUAACACGUGAGUAACCUGCCCUUGUCUUUGGGAUAACUUCAGGAAACUGGGGCUAAUACCGGAUAGGAGCUCCUGCUGCAUGGUGGGGGUUGGAAAGUUUCGGCGGUUGGGGAUGGACUCGCGGCUUAUCAGCUUGUUGGUGGGGUAGUGGCUUACCAAGGCUUUGACGGGUAGCCGGCCUGAGAGGGUGACCGGCCACAUUGGGACUGAGAUACGGCCCAGACUCCUACGGGAGGCAGCAGUGGGGAAUAUUGCACAAUGGGCGGAAGCCUGGUGCAGCAACGCCGCGUGCGGGAUGACGGCCUUCGGGUUGUAAACCGCUUUCGCCUGUGACGAAGCGUGAGUGACGGUAAUGGGUAAAGAAGCACCGGCUAACUACGUG